rnacentral:miRNA from 1 species
AGGGGGAAAGUUCUAUAGUCC